GACAGAGGGUGCGAGCGUUGUCCGGAAUCACUGGGCGUAAAGGGCGCGUAGGUGGCGGCAUAAGGCCGUGGUGAAAGUCUGGGGCUCAACCCCAGAUCGGCCAUGGCGACUGUGUCGCUUGGGCACCGUAGAGGCAGAUGGAAUUCCGGGUGUAGCGGUGGAAUGCGUAGAGAUCCGGAAGAACACCCGUGGCGAAGGCGGCCAGCUGGGUCGUCCCUGACGCUGAGGCGCGAAGGCGUGGGGAGCGAACGGG
rnacentral:rRNA from 1 species